GAGCUGGAUCUGUAGCAUUAGAGAAAGAUCUGGCUGUGUUCCUGAUAAGAACAAAAACGGUGACGUGAUGGAGAACUUCAGAUAUCAAGGAAUCUGAAAAGAGUGAUGUUUGAAAUGAAUGCAUCUGCCUGUAAGAUUAUUACAGCACCACCAAGCCUUCCUGGAGUGGAACUUUUGCUCAGUUCUUGGCUGGAGGGAUGCAGUACGACUUUCCUUCACUUGUUUUCAGGGACUCUUAACUGGUAAAGAGAGUUUGGGACAUUUUACCAUCUGGAGUUUCUCUGUGCCUUGCUGAUGAUCUGAGCUCAAACCUGCCAGAUAAGAAAACCUCCUGUAACAUCUGAGAGAAAAUGGGAAAAACAGAGGUACCUUUAAUGGAACAGAAUAAACCACUGAACAGGUAACUAAAUUAUCA
rnacentral:lncRNA from 1 species